GUAAGGAAUAUUGGUCAAUGGGCGCAAGCCUGAACCAGCCAUGCCGCGUGCAGGAAGACGGCCCUACGGGUUGUAAACUGCUUUUAUACGGGAAUAACCCCGGUUUCGUGAAACCGGCUGAAUGUACCGUAAGAAUAAGGAUCGGCUAACUCCGUGCCAGCAGCCGCGGUAAUACGGAGGAUCCAAGCGUUAUCCGGAUUUAUUGGGUUUAAAGGGUGCGUAGGCGGCCUGCUAAGUCAGGGGUGAAAGACGGUGGCUCAACCAUCGCAGUGCCUUUGAUACUGGCGGGCUUGAAUGUACAUGAGGUAGGCGGAAUGUGACAAGUAGCGGUGAAAUGCAUAGAUAUGUCACAGAACACCGAUUGCGAAGGCAGCUUACUAAGGUAUAAUUGACGCUGAGGCACGAAAGCGUGGGGAUCAAACAGG
rnacentral:rRNA from 1 species